GAUGAACGCUGGCGGCGUGCCUAAUACAUGCAAGUCGAGCGAACGGACGAGAAGCUUGCUUCUCUGAUGUUAGCGGCGGACGGGUGAGUAACACGUGGAUAACCUACCUAUAAGACUGGGAUAACUUCGGGAAACCGGAGCUAAUACCGGAUGAUAUUUCGAACCGCAUGGUUCAAAAGUGAAAGACGGUCUUGCUGUCACUUAUAGAGGGAUCCGCGCUGCAUUAGCUAGUUGGUAAGGUAACGGCUUACCAAGGCAACGAUUCAUAGCCGACCUGAGAGGGUGGUCGGCCACACUGGAGCUGAGACACGGUCCAGACUCCUACGGGAGGCAGCAGUAGGGAAUCUUCCGCAAUGGGCGAAAGCCUGACGGAACAACGCCGCGUGAGUGAUGAAGGUCUUCGGAUCGUAAAACUCUGUUAUUAGGGAAGAACAUAUGUGUAAGUAACUGUGCACAUCAUGACGGUACCUAAUCAGAAAGCCACGGCUAACUACGUG
rnacentral:rRNA from 1 species